rnacentral:rRNA from 1 species
UACGAAGGGAGCUAGCGUUGUUCGGAAUCACUGGGCGUAAAGCGCACGUAGGCGGAUGUGUCAGUCAGGGGUGAAAUCCCGGGGCUCAACCUCGGAACUGCCUUUGAUACAGCACGUCUUGAGUCCGAUAGAGGUGGGUGGAAUUCCUAGUGUAGAGGUGAAAUUCGUAGAUAUUAGGAAGAACACCGGUGGCGAAGACAGCCCACUGGAUCGGUACUGACGCUGAGGUGCGAAAGCGUGGGGAGCAAACAGG